CGGGUACGGUCUGCGUCGGUUUUGUAGGUGUGUACGCGUCGAGAAAAACCCGCGACCGGUUCCGGCGCGUCAUCAUCGCACGGUGUCCAGACGAGAUUGGCAGCGAAGUUCCCAAAAGGGAGGAAAAAAGAGGAAAAUAAAAGCAUUUCACCCACACCCGAGCGAUAGACGUCAGUCUCAUGCAAUCUCACUACGGGAGUUGCCUCGAGAAAUGGUAAAAGUUACGUGAAGGAUUGCGAAAUACGGCAAUGAACGAAGGAAUAGCUAAGAGCGCUUGAAGUACGUGUGAGUUUCCCCACAUCUUCAAACAACAGUUCAAACAAACGAAUGUUUUGUGGUUUGGUGCGUGAAAUUAGUGAAGACGAGUUGUGAGUAGUGAACGAGUUCCAGCAGUGCUCAGUGACCAAUUGACAAAAGGGUUAACCCGGUCGAGGGAAAACAGCGGCAUCAUUUGCAGUGCAAAAGCAAGAGAAAGAAAGUGAAAAAGAUAUAAAGAAAACAAGUAACAGAAGUAAUCAAGAGCAAGUGGCGAGUGCGAGACCCCUUCAGUAGCCAGUAUCGCAUUGCAUACUGCUUAUCGUCGUGCUAGCGCAGAAAGCAACAUAGAAAGCGCCGUGCGACCGCUUCGUGUGGAGCUCGACCUCAUUCUGGAGUGAUGUGCCACUUGAAGCGAACUCCACCACGCAGGCACGGGUGUUGACGGGGAGUCACCCUCGGCGAAAAAAAAAAAACAACCCCCGAACAAAUUGUCACCAGCUGGCAGCCUGAAACAAUUCUCACCGGCUUGGCACCAUUUCCGGGACGGCUUCUUGACACGGUACAGCCGAGCCCGUUUGCAGUCCAUUCGCAAAGACCUGGGUGGAAUGUCGUCGGGUGGUGGCUGCCGACCAUUCCACGCUCUUCGGCGACCCGCGCCACGCUUCAAGUGGCAUCGGAAUUAAACACCAAAGAAGGAGUAAAAAAAACUGGCCACGGCCCGGUAGUUCCGGUUCAUCACGUUCGGCGGUUGUGUGUGGUGUGGUGUUCGUGUUUUAUGCACGCGCCUCUAAUUGCCUGGUGGUGCUUGGUGGGUGACGUGAUUGGACGGGAGUGUACGAAUUAAAAUCACUUUAUUGCUGGGGCGGGAAACGCAGCGAGAAAACUGUGAACCCGGCGUACGUGCCCAUCCAUAAGUUCAGUGUCCGAGUGGCGGGUGGGCGACUCUGUGUGUGUGUGUGAUGUGGGGGCCAUCAAACGUGAAUCAAAACACACGGUGCGAACGUGUCUGAAGGAUCGCGUCCUGGUGUGCAAAUUGGUCCCAUUCGCAACCCACCGGAAAUGUCAUUCAUAAUUAC